GCUGCACGGACAGACAGCACGGACAGACGGGGCGGACGCCUACAAGACCCGGCCAGCUCCAGCUCCAGCUCUGCACGGGCUACUUCCGGCCACCCAGGCCGGGAGACACGUCUCCCGAUGUGGCGCGCCUGCGCGCUCCUCCCGUACCCCCGUUUUCCCUCCCUCGCCCUCAGAGCGCCUGCGCACGCCUAAACCCGUCGACUGCUGUCUGGCAACCCCGGACAGCGGACGCGGUCCUUGGCUUAACCCCUUCGUGCCCGGCACAGUUCUGUAAGCCUGAGCCGGCUCGCUCUGAAGGCGCCUGCGCACUCCCUGAUCUGAAAGCUGGAGAAUCACUAGAUGGUCCACUAGAGGGCUCCCUCGCUUAACCCCGUCUUACCCGGUGUGGGGCGGGCUCAGCCCUGCGCCCUCUGCUCGCGCCUGCGCAUAUUCUGGCCUGAAGGCCUCCAAGCUGGAAGCUGUAACUGACCAGGUUCAGGGCUCACUCGAUUAACCCCGUCCUGUCCGGGGCGGAGCGUGGCUUCCUAGCAUCCGCGGGCCCAGCUGCCAAGAGUCCUACUCUGAAACUUCAUCCUGGGAUGGAGAUGACCCUUGGUUCUCAAAGGAUAUGUAAAUGGAGCUCAAGCUCUGACAGGUUCUGCCAUGCUAGAAAGGCUUCAGGUAUGGUCCCAGUAACAAAGCAACUCUGCUUUCUGAGGAUCAGCCUAGCUAAGGACAGAGAGGCUCACUGCUGGACCAUUUGGUGAUGAGUUUUUUGACCAUGGUAACCCAGACAACAAAGGAAAAUACAAAAUGGCACUCCUUAUCAUGCAGCCAGUGGCGGGAAGAUGGCAGAAAAGGGACCAAGGCUAUGAUAAAACCACCUUUAGACUCUCUAUAAACUAACAUGGCUGCUGCUUGAUGUGACCUCCUUGUCCUUUGAAUAGACAGACUACCGGAGGAGCUGAAUUGUAUCAAUUUUGACAUUAGUGUUAUGAAUAAAACCAGAAGGAAGAAGUUGCUGCUAAAUGAAAGGAUGCUCACAGACUGUCCUUGGAGAAACAGAUGGAGCAUUGAUGGAAUUGGUGUUAAUGAGAGCACAAAGUCAAUGACAAACAGUUCAUAGGGAACAUUUGGUCGUAUUAAAAUACUCAUGAUAAGUUUGUACAGAAAGAUUGACAUGAACGUGACUUUAACUGAUGCGCCAACACCUGUUGCAGAGGUUGAAGAGUUAAGUCUAUGGAGAAUUUGAUGAGACUAUCCAAAUUAAAUCAAUAAAUACUUUGACACCUGGUGAGAAUUGGUGAGGAAGGUGAGAUUUCUCUUGGACAACAAAGAUCAGGAAUAAGUCAUGAGAGAGGCCAAAGAUCUGUAGACACCAUGGAAGUGGAUUACCAAUCAAUAUAGUGGUAAUUCUUCUAGAAAAUAAUUGGCAGGUGCUGGACAUGACAAGGACCAUACAACUUCACAUAAAUGAUUAUAUUUUAAGACAAGAAAUGCCCCAUUGAUGUGAUAGUUACUCUUGAAUCCCCUUUCCUCCACCUAGCCAGCCAGCACACCAAUGCCAGCCUAACAGUGCUCAUCUGGUGCCUUAAUCAUAACAAUGGUUUUCUACUUGCUCCCCCUUCCGAAAGUCACUCCCUACCCCAUCCAUGAUACUUCGGCUUCCAAAGGAAGUUUCUUAAAGCACAGGGCUGACCAUGGCAUGGUCACUUACAGAUCCAAUAUAAAAUGCUGUUGACUUGUAAAGCCCUUCCCCAAACUAGUUGGAAGACUUUCUAGUCUUCCAACAACUUACUUCAUUCCAAGUACUCUACAGUCUAGCUGUACUGAUCUAUUGGCUCACAGUGGACACUCCAUCUCCCCCUUACCUGAAAUACACUUCCUCUUCCCCACUGUCCUGGAGAAUCCCUAAUCUCAUUCAACUGUCAGUUCAUGUCCUACCUUUUAUAGGAAACCUUUCCUAAUCCCUCUAGCUGCUGGUGACCUCCCGACAAAAUCAUUUCCUUUUGUAAAUACCUACAGUAGAUAUGUAUUUGUAGUCUCCCCAAAUAGAAUUUAAGUUUCUUGAGUGCAAGUACUGUUUAAAUUUUGUCUUUGUCCCCCCAGAUAUGUAUGAGACAUGUAGUAGGCAUUUAAUAAUUACUAAUUGAUUGACUCUUCA